rnacentral:rRNA from 1 species
UACGUAGGGUGCGAGCGUUGUCCGGAAUUAUUGGGCGUAAAGAGCUCGUAGGUGGUUUGUCGCGUUUGUCGUGAAAACUCACAGCUCAACUGUGGGCGUGCGGGCGAUACGGGCAGACUGGAGUACUGCAGGGGAGACUGGAAUUCCUGGUGUAGCGGUGGAAUGCGCAGAUAUCAGGAGGAACACCGGUGGCGAAGGCGACUUUCUGGGACAUUCCUGACGCUGAGGAGCGAAAGCGUGGGGAGCAAACGGG